GACGAACGCUGGCGGCGUGCUUAACACAUGCAAGUCGAACGGAAAGGCCCUGCUUUUGUGGGGUGCUCGAGUGGCGAACGGGUGAGUAACACGUGAGUAACCUGCCCUUGACUUUGGGAUAACUUCAGGAAACUGGGGCUAAUACCGGAUAGGAGCUCCUGCUGCAUGGUGGGGGUUGGAAAGUUUCGGCGGUUGGGGAUGGACUCGCGGCUUAUCAGCUUGUUGGUGUGGUAGUGGCUUACCAAGGCUUUGACGGGUAGCCGGCCUGAGAGGGUGACCGGCCACAUUGGGACUGCGAUACGGCGCAGACUCCUACGGGAGGCAGCAGUGGGGAAUAUUGCACAAUGGGCGGAAGCCUGAUGCAGCAACGCCGCGUGCGGGAUGACGGCCUUCGGGUUGUAAACCGCUUUCGCCUGUGACGAAGCGUGAGUGACGGUAAUGGGUAAAGAAGCACCGGCUAACUACGUG
rnacentral:rRNA from 1 species